UUGAACGCUGGCGGCAGGCCUAACACAUGCAGGUCGAGCGGAUGAAGGGAGCUUGCUCCUGGAUUCAGCGGCGGACGGGUGAGUAAUGCCUAGGAAUCUGCCUGGUAGUGGGGGAUAACGUCCGGAAACGGGCGCUAAUACCGCAUACGUCCUGAGGGAGAAAGUGGGGGAUCUUCGGACCUCACGCUAUCAGAUGAGCCUAGGUCGGAUUAGCUAGUUGGUGGGGUAAAGGCCUACCAAGGCGACGAUCCGUAACUGGUCUGAGAGGAUGAUCAGUCACACUGGAACUGAGACACGGUCCAGACUCCUACGGGAGGCAGCAGUGGGGAAUAUUGGACAAUGGGCGAAGGCCUGAUCCAGCCAUGCCGCGUGUGUGAAGAAGGUCUUCGGAUUGUAAAGCACUUUAAGUUGGGAGGAAGGGCAGUAAGUUAAUACCUUGCUGUUUUGACGUUACCAACAGAAUAAGCACCGGCUAACUUCGUG
rnacentral:rRNA from 1 species